AGCGAUGAAACUUUAACAGAACCCUUCGGGGCGAAGAUAAAGUGGAUUAGCGGCGGACGGGUGAGUAACACGUGAGUAACCUGCCUUAGACAUUGGGAUAGCCUCGGGAAACCGGGAUUAAUACCAAAUAAAAUCAUAAUGACACAUGUCAUAACGAUCAAAACUCCGGUGGUCUAAGAUGGACUCGCGUCCCAUUAGCUAGUUGGUAGAGUAAAAGCCUACCAAGGCGACGAUGGGUAGCCGGCCUGAGAGGGUGAACGGCCACAUUGGAACUGAGAAACGGUCCAAACUCCUACGGGAGGCAGCAGUGGGGAAUAUUGCACAAUGGAGGGAACUCUGAUGCAGCGACGCCGCGUGAACGAAGAAGGCUUUCGAGUCGUAAAGUUCUUUUAUAUGGGAAGAUAAUGACGGUACCAUAAGAAAAAGCCCCGGCUAACUACGUGCCAGCAGCCGCGGUAAUACGUAGGGGGCUAGCGUUGUCCGGAAUCACUGGGCGUAAAGGGUUCGCAGGCGGAAAUGCAAGUCAGAUGUAAAAGGCAGUAGCUUAACUACUGUAAGCAUUUGAAACUGCAUAUCUUGAGAAGAGUAGAGGUAAGUGGAAUUUUUAGUGUAGCGGUGAAAUGCGUAGAUAUUAAAAAGAAUACCGGUGGCGAAGGCGACUUACUGGGCUCAUUCUGACGCUGAGGAACGAAAGCGUGGGUAGCAAACAGGAUUAGAUACCCUGGU
rnacentral:rRNA from 1 species